GAUGAACGCUGGCGGCGUGCCUAAUACAUGCAAGUCGAGCGAACAGACGAGGAGCUUGCUCCUCUGACGUUAGCGGCGGACGGGUGUGUAACACGUGGAUAACCUACCUAUAAGACUGGGAUAACUUCGGGAAACCGGAGCUAAUACCGGAUAAUAUAUUGAACCGCAUGGUUCAAUAGUGAAAGACGGUUUUGCUGUCACUUAUAGAUGGAUCAGCGCCGCAUUAGCUAGUUGGUAAGGUAACGGCUUACCAAGGCAACGCUGCGUAGCCGACCUGAGAGAGUGAUCGGCCACACUGGAGCUGGGACACGGUCCAGAGGCCUACGGGAGGCAGCAGUAGGGAAUCUUCCGCAAUGGGCGGAAGCCUGACGGAGCAACGCCGCGUGAGUGGUGAAGGUCUUCGGAUCGUAAAACUCUGUUAUUAGGGAAGAACAAAUUUGUAAGUAACUAUGCACGUCUUGACGGUACCUAAUCAGAAAGCCACGGCUAACUACGUG
rnacentral:rRNA from 1 species